UGUAAGCGUAUACCAAAGUUGUUGCAGUUCAAACACUCGUAGUCGGAAUUUGGCAGUUCCGGAUGUGUGCACGUCGUGUGCGCACUUCGCGGGGAUUGCUUUUGUGGUCUUGCGUAGGAUGAGGCACUUUUAUUAGUGAACGUCCUCACGCAACCACUUUUUACUGUGAGAAAAUCAGAGUGCUCAAAGCAGGCAUUUGCCGUGAAUGUAUUAGCAUGGAAUAAUAGAAUAGGACUUGGUUCUAUUUUGUUGGUUUGUUGGGACUGAGUAAUGAUUAAGAGGGACAGUUGGGGGCAUUUGUAUUUCGGUGCUAGAGGUGAAAUUCUUAGAUUACCGAAAGACAAACUGCUGCGAAAGCGUCUGCCAAGGAUGUUUUCAUUGA
rnacentral:rRNA from 1 species